rnacentral:rRNA from 1 species
AAUCAACGCUGGCGGCGUGCCUCAGACAUGCAAGUCGAACGAGAAAGUCCCCUUCGGGGGAUGAGUAAAGUGGCGCACGGGUGAGUAACACGUAGGUAAUCUACCUUCGGGUGGGGAAUAACCCAGGGAAACUUGGGCUAACACCGCAUAAUGCAGCGGCACCACAUGGUGACAGUUGUUAAAGCGGGGGAUUUUCGAACCUCGCGCCUGAAGAGGAGCCUGCGGCGGAUUAGCUAGUUGGUAAGGUAACGGCUUACCAAGGCGACGAUCCGUAACCGGCCUGAGAGGGCGGUCGGUCACACUGACACUGACAUACGGGUCAGACUCCUACGGGAGGCAGCAGUCGGGAAUUUUGGGCAAUGGGCGAAAGCCUGACCCAGCAACGCCGCGUGAAGGAUGAAAUCCCUCGGGACGUAAACUUCGCAAGAUUGGGAAGAAUUAGUAGGGGUUAAUACCCCCUAUGAUGACGGUACCAUUUGUAAGCUCCGGCUAACUCCGUGCCAGCAGCCGCGGUAAUACGGGGGAGCAAGCGUUG